UUGCCAUGAAGAUUAUUGUGCUCCAUGUGAUGUUGGGUCGUCACAGCCGUUCGAUAACUUUCGAAUUAUAAAGCACAUCUGAGCAA